rnacentral:rRNA from 1 species
GAUGAACGCUAGCGACAGGCUUAACACAUGCAAGUCGAGGGGCAGCAUGAUUUGUAGCAAUACAGAUUGAUGGCGACCGGCGCACGGGUGAGUAACGCGUAUGCAACUUACCUAUCAGAGGGGGAUAGCCCGGCGAAAGUCGGAUUAAUACCCCAUAAAACAGGGGUCCCGCAUGGGAAUAUUUGUUAAAGAUUCAUCGCUGAUAGAUAGGCAUGCGUUCCAUUAGGCAGUUGGCGGGGUAACGGCCCACCAAACCGACGAUGGAUAGGGGUUCUGAGAGGAAGGUCCCCCACAUUGGUACUGAGACACGGACCAAACUCCUACGGGAGGCAGCAGUGAGGAAUAUUGGUCAAUGGCCGAGAGGCUGAACCAGCCAAGUCGCGUGAAGGAAGAAGGAUCUAUGGUUUGUAAACUUCUUUUAUAGGGGAAUAAAGUGGAGGACGUGUCCUUUUUGUAUGUACCCUAUGAAUAAGCAUCGGCUAACUCCGUGCCAGCAGCCGCGGU